AUGGAAAGCACUUUGAAAAGAGGGUGAAAAGCACCUGAAACCGCCACGGGGGAAGCGGAUUGCAUCAGUGUUUGCUAGUAUCUGUUCAGCUAUUCAUUUAUUUGGGUAGUGUAUUCAGUGCUAGCUGUGUUGGCAUGGCUGCCUUGGUUUUGGAUUAUGCAAAACUAGGUGGUGAGGGCUCCCUCUGAUAUUUUUUUAUCUAGGUGAGGAUGUCAACAAAAUGAUGCGACCCGACCCGUCUUGAAACACGGACCAAGGAGUCUAGCACUACUGCGAGUCGAAGGGUUUUAUAAACUCAUGGGCGAAGUGAAAGCAAAUAUUUGGAAAUCUGAUACAGAUUAGGGAGGUGUUGCGACGUUGUCAAAAUAUCCUACCCAGAGCAGUUGUGCUGGGACCCGAAAGAUGGUGAACUAUGCCGGAAUAGGGCAAAGCCAGAGGAAACUCUGGUGGAGGCUCGUAGCGAUGCUGACGUGCAAAUCGCUCGUCGAAUUUGGGUAUAGGGGCGAAAGACUAAUCGAACCAUCUAGUAGCUGGUUCCCUCCGAAGUUUCUCUCAGGAUAGCGGGCCGACGAUGUGGGUUGUUUUGUGU
rnacentral:rRNA from 1 species